rnacentral:rRNA from 1 species
AGGACGAACGCUGGCGGCGCGCCUAACACAUGCAAGUCGAACGAGCGAGAGAGAGCUUGCUUUCUCAAGCGAGUGGCGAACGGGUGAGUAACGCGUGAGGAACCUGCCUCAAAGAGGGGGACAACAGUUGGAAACGACUGCUAAUACCGCAUAAGCCCACGACCCGGCAUCGGGUAGAGGGAAAAGGAGCAAUCCGCUUUGAGAUGGCCUCGCGUCCGAUUAGCUAGUUGGUGAGGUAAUGGCCCACCAAGGCGACGAUCGGUAGCCGGACUGAGAGGUUGAACGGCCACAUUGGGACUGAGACACGGCCCAGACUCCUACGGGAGGCAGCAGUGGGGAAUAUUGCACAAUGGGGGAAACCCUGAUGCAGCGACGCCGCGUGGAGGAAGAAGGUCUUCGGAUUGUAAACUCCUGUUGUUGAGGAAGAUAAUGACGGUACUCAACAAGGAAGUGACGGCUAACUACGUGCCAGCAGCCGCGGUAAAACGUAGGUCACAAGCGUUGUCCG